GCCAGGUGUGGUGGUGCACACCUGUAAUCCCAGCUACUCGGGAGGCUGAGGCAGGAGAAUUGCUUGAACCCAGGAGGUGGAAGCUGCAGUGAGCUGAGAUGGCACCACUGCACUCCCGCCUGGGUGACAGAGUGAGAUUCUGUCUCAG
rnacentral:SRP_RNA from 1 species